rnacentral:rRNA from 1 species
CAGUAGCCGCGGUAAUACGGAGGGAGCUAGCGUUGUUCGGAAUUACUGGGCGUAAAGCGCACGUAGGCGGUUAUUCAAGUCAGAGGUGAAAGCCCGGGGCUCAACCCCGGAACUGCCUUUGAAACUAGAUGACUAGAAUCUUGGAGAGGUCAGUGGAAUUCCGAGUGUAGAGGUGAAAUUCGUAGAUAUUCGGAAGAACACCAGUGGCGAAGGCGACUGACUGGACAAGUAUUGACGCUGAGGUGCGAAAGCGUGGGGAGCAAACAGGAUUAGAUACCCCUGUAGUCCCUGUCUCUUAUAC